GACAGAGGGUGCAAGCGUUAAUCGGAAUUACUGGGCGUAAAGGGUUCGUAGGCGGUUGACUAAGUCGGAUGUAAAAUCCCCGGGCUUAACCUGGGCACGUCAUUCGAUACUGGUCAACUAGAGUUGGGUAGAGGAAAGUAGAAUUUCCGGUGUAGCGGUGAAAUGCGUAGAUAUCGGAAGGAAUACCAGUGGCGAAGGCGGCUUUCUGGACCCAAACUGACGCUGAGGAACGAAAGCGUGGGUAGCAAACAGG
rnacentral:rRNA from 1 species